UACAGAGGUGGCAAGCGUUGUUCGGAAUUACUGGGCGUAAAGGGCGCGUAGGCGGUUCGUUAAGUCCUGUGUGAAAUCCCCCGGCUCAACUGGGGAACUGCACAGGAAACUAGCGGGCUUGAGUUCGGGAGAGGGAAGCGGAGUUCCGGGUGUAGCGGUGAAAUGCGUAGAUAUCCGGAGGAACACCGGUGGCGAAGGCGGCUUCCUGGACCGACACUGACGCUGAGGCGCGAAAGCUAGGGGAGCAAACGGG
rnacentral:rRNA from 1 species